AUAUGAAAUACAGAAUAGUAAUCAGUUUGUGUACAUGUGCAUACAUAGACACCAUUUGCCGAGGCCAAAACAGUCUGUCACAGAUUUUUUAUGAAAAUUAAAAGGCACUCUGGUAGGGCACUUGACAAGUGGCCAAGUCAGAACCUUUAGGCCUGGGAUCAUCUGGAUUUGCUUUCAGUUCCCCCUUCUCAGUCAACAGCGAUGUCUUUGAAAGGUCUAAGUCUACUAUAGUUUUGCUUUGUUUCCGUCUCCAUCUACCCUUUAAAAAUUGGUUUUAUGGCGAAAGGCAGAAGGCAUACUGAGUGUGUCUGACAUGCACUAGGAAACCUGCUGCAUGUGACUUCGAUGACCUGUCAUCCUGUGUCCCUCACCAGCCCUGGUCUUCUAUGACAUGAUACAGUUAGGAGCCUUAAACCCUUGUUUGUGUGACUGCUGCCCUCUGCAUUCAUGCCUCUGCCACCUUCUAAUAAAGGUACUCUUAUCCCCUUGUGGGGUGGGAUUAAUUGGCAAUCUCAUUGCUUUUGAAAAAAUUAUUAAUAUUAGUAGUACAUUUUGCAGUCUUGCAAAAGUCUAGUCAAAACAGCAGCAUGGCUGGGCAUAGUGGCGUACGCCUUUAACUUCAGCACUUGGGAGGCAGAGGCAGGGAGAUCUCUGUGAGUUCAAGGCCAGCAUGGUCUACAGAGUGAGUCCCAGGACAGCCAGACCUACAUAGUGAGACCCUGUCUCAAAAACAAAUAAAAACAUCCAGCAGCAUGAAAAUGUUGUUACAUUAGCUCAUCAUUCGUUAAAAAGCCACAAGUUUUUGUUUGGCUUCUCUUUUAAGCCAAAUUAGUAAGACGUUUUCAUGAAGCAAAUAUAUCAUUUAUUUAUCUUAGAAAUCUGAAGGACAAUUACCUUAUCCAUGUCUUUUUUUUUCCUACAGUCUUAAAAUGCCAAACAGGAAUAGUUGUGGUAUGAAUCUGUUGCAAAUGCAUAUUCAGAAAUUGAUGUUCUAAUGAAUAAUUACCAUCUACUUAAUAUGAAACUGUAUCCCAUUUUAAUUCUGGUCUCAAUAAUAAUAGUAAGUGAUGAUUAAUUUCUUCAUCUUAAGGUGAGUAGUUUGCAUUACUGAGUUGUACCAGGUCUUGUCACUUUCCUUUUAUUGCACAGUUUAAAAUUUUCUGUAAACUCUGUGGCUCCUUUCCAAAUAAUAUGCCAUAAUGUUUUUCACAUUGAAAAUGAACCUUGUUGAAAAUGUUAGAUUUUUAAUUUUUUUUAACUGUUUCUGCAUUUCAGUAGUUGCACUGCUAACUUACGAUCUUCAUAAAGAGCAUGGAAGAAGCCAUUCUGAAUAUAUUUUUAGGAAGUAGGCACGUAGAAAUAACAAAAUAGAUAUCAAUGACACCUUUAAUUCAUCCCUGAAAAGCAACUGGAAAGGAAAAAACAAAUUCUACCAAAAUUAAAAAGUUGAAAAACAAGGGUAUCAGAAAGACCUGUUUUCUUAUACUGUUGAAGCAAUCAACUUUUAGCCACUAGAGAAAUGCAAAUUGAAAUGACUGUGAGAUUCCAUCUUCCACCUGUCAGAAUGGCCAGGAUCCAAAAUCACUAAUAAUAGCUUAUACUGGAGAGGAUAUGGAAUGAGGGGAACACUCCUCCACUGACGGUGGGAAUGUGAACUUGUACAGGCACUUUGGAGAUCAAUAUGGAGGUUUCUCAGAAAAUCAGCAAUCAAUCUACAUCAGCACCAAGCAAUACCACUCUUGGAUAUACCCAAAGGAUGCUUAAUCAUACUACAAGGAUACUUGCUCAACUAUGCUCAUAACAGCAUUAUUAGUAAUAUCCAGAAACUGGAAACCACCUAGAUGCCCCUCAGCUGAAGAAUGGACAAGGAAAAAUGUAGUACAUUUACACGAUGGAGUAUUACUCAGCUGUUAAAAACAAUGACAUUGUGAAAUUUGCAGGCAAAUAGAUGGAAAAAGAAAAAAAAAAUCAUCCUGAGUGAGGUAACCCAGACCCAGAAAGACAAACAUGGUAUGUACUCACUCAUAAGUAGAUAUUAACUGUAAAGUAAAGAAUAACCAUGCUAUGAUCCACAGACCCAGAAAGGCUAAGGAAUAAGGAGGCCCCUAAGGGAGGUGGAGACGCAUGGAUUUCCCUGGGGCAGGGAAAUAGAAGAGAUA
ensembl:lncRNA